rnacentral:rRNA from 1 species
GCGAGUGAACAGGCAAAAGCUCAAAAUGGAAAUCCUUUUCAUAGAGGAAAGGAAUUGUAAUCUAGAGGACGGUUGCGAAGGCAUAGCUUCAGCAUGAGUUCCUUGGAAUAGGACGCCAAAGAGGGUGAUAGCCCCAUACACGACUGAGGCUGGCUGUAGGAGCUGUUUCAAAGAGUCGGGUUGUUUGGGACUGCAGCCCUAAGCGGGAGAUAAACUUCUUCUAAAGCUAAAUAUUGAUGGGAAACCGAUAGCGAACAAGUACUACGAAGGAAAGAUGAAAAGAACUUUGAAAAGAGGGUUAAAAGACUUGAAAUCGUUGAGUAGGAAGCGGUUGGAGGGCAGUCACUUGCAAAGAUAUUGGCGAGAGCCGGCCGGUCGCUGGGGGAAAAGGUACGAAAGGCCUAGUCUUCAGUCGAUAACGGACAGCUGCGUCUUAUUCGAAAGCAAAAGACAGAUUGGACAUCAGAGUGCGGGAAUAAACGGUAGGGGUCGAACCAGGCCUAGCUUGGAGCCCUGCCGCAGAAACCGGGACUCGGUG